rnacentral:lncRNA from 1 species
GAAAUUGAUGGGUCCAAAAGCAUAUGCAACUUUGAUCUGAUAGUAUAAACUCGCUCUCUAAUGUGGAUGUGAUAAUUCGUCUUCCUCCCAACACUGAGGAACCUUGCUGCUGCUUUCUGUCGCUGUUGCUGGUGGUAAAGGGCCCUUGACUGACACAUUUGAGAGGCUGGUCAAUCCAUGCACAGAGCUGAUAUGAGUUAAGGCAAAGGAAGCUUCAACCUUUAUUUCACUUAGCAGGAUUCCCUGGUUUCUUGGCCACCCAGAGACACCUUCUUGGGACUCAUUUCUCAUCCAACCGAAGGGGCCUGAUGUGCUCCUGGACUCCUUUAAGGAGAGAGAAACUUUGGGUGCAGCAUCACGAAUUGUAAGCAGGAAGCCAGGCUUCUGAGAGUCAGAUGGAACUGCAGCUGGGAGCAGGGGGGUUGUCAUUUGUCUGCCCUGAGCCACCAGAAAGGGUUCAGUGAGUCUUGAACACAGUGAUUAACUUCUCUUUAAUCUACGCAUCACUGCACAGCACAGCCAAUUGCUUGGCUUCCCCAAUAAGAGUCAUGAGUCACUCAAUGUCUUAAUGUGGACUGAGCACGUUUUAUUCCAAGCAGGUGCGACUGUUCCUGUAUGUGCCUUUGAGAUACCUAGGAAAUGAAUAAUGCUUGUUGUCCCCCUCCAACACCAACUGAACAUUGAAUCAAUGGUUUACUAUUUUAAUAACAAGUGAAUAUUGCUCUAAGACUCCUUUUUUUUUUUUUUUUUUUGCUUGUUCAGUGCCAGAGGGAUAGGUUCCCAUUUCUUUUCCUGGCUGUUGGGUCACGGCUGAGGGUCCCUGGGAUGUGGGGCAUCUCCGUAAGUAACAGGAAGUAUAUUAACUCGUGGGUUAAUUAAGAAAAUCAUUGACGAAACCACAUGAGUGUGUGCUGUGCAAGCGACCCUUGGACUGCCAUAGAGGCCAGGAAUAGGGAGGGAAAAUUGGACCCAGCUGUGGCCUGCUUAGCUCUUUUCUUCCAAUGUGGGUCACUCCUUGAACUAGGACAGUCUGCAGGUGUUCCCAUUGUGCUCAGACAAACACUCAACUCUUAACCCUUGAAAGAAAGAAGUAGGAACAAAGGCCUGCUCGGGCAUGCUGGAGACGCAGAAAUUGUGGAGGGAAAAGCAGCAGGCCCUUUUCACAUGGUGGCUGCCUUAUCCUCUCUUACUCUAUUGUUCAAUCUGUUCAACUUAGUUAAGAACCCAUAGAUCUAGAUUCCACCCCCUCCUUCCCUACCACUCUCUGGCUGGGUGACUUUUGGCAAAUUUUCUAUCUUUUCUGAGCCUCAGUUUCUCAUCCUCACAGAACCAUUGUGAACACAAAAUGAGGGGCAGAAUGGGGACAUGUGAUAGGCAGAAUAAUGGCCCCAAAGACAUCCUUGCUCCAAUCCCCAGAACCUGGGAAAGUUAGCUUAUGUGACAAAUGGAGCUCUGCAAAUAUGAUGAAGUUAAGGAUUUUGAGAUGGGAAAAUGAUCCUAGAUUAUCCAGGUGGGCCCAAUAUACUCAAGGGGUCUUUAUAAGAGGGAGGCACACACUCAGAGAGGCAGAAGGCAAUGAGACUACCGAAGCAGAGAUGAGAGUGAUGUGGUCACAAGCUGGGGGAUGCAAGCAGGCCCUAGAGGAACAGACUCUUCCCUAGAGUCUUGGAAGCAGCCAGCCCUGCUGACCUUGACUUUAGCCAAGUGAAACUGAUUUUGGACUUCUGGCCUCCAGAACUGUAAGAGAAUAAAUUGGUAUUAUUUUAAGCCAUCAAGUUUGUGAUUUGUUACAGCAGCUGCAGGAAACUAAUGCAGGCUGAUUUGUAAAGUCCUCCUGUGAAAAUGGAAGAAUCUCCUGCAAUGUAGCCAGAGCCAGAUAUGAGCCCAAGCCCAGUGAGGAGAGACUCCAUGGACAGAGGUGAAGGAACUGUUCUCCAAAGGACUCUGACAGCUUGUGGGUACAAGCUGUGCUGCUUUGGGGCCCAGAUGACAGGUGAGAUGUGGA